rnacentral:lncRNA from 10 species
UUGAAUUUAUUGAAUUCUUUGUUCAGCACCUCAGAUGAUAGGAUUUUUCUCCUUUGACCUAUUGAUAUAAUGGGUUAAUUAAAAUAUUUCUUAAUAUUACACCAUGCUCUCAUGACUAGAAAACUACCAGGAUAUGAUGGAUUUUUAUAUACUGUGGAGGGUUAAUUAAAAUAUUUCCUAAUAUUACAUCAUGCUCUCAUGACUAGGAAACUACCAGGAUAUGAUAGAUUUUUAUAUACAGUUUAAUUUUAUGGACCCAAAUUUUAUUAAUAAAAAAUUAAAUAUAAGUUAAUAAGUGAGAGAGAUCCACAUCUUUCUUUGUGUGUAGUGAACUAUCUUUGCCAGGUUUUGGAAUCAGAGUUUAGACUUCCUUCAUUAAACAAAUUUGGAAGAUCUCUGUCUUUGCUUCUAGCUUCUAAACUUUUUUAUUGGCUUAGGGAUUUGUGAUUCUUGAAAAGAACUGAAAGAUCGUAUUCAACUCUCCUUGUACUUUUAUCAGUAAUUUUGGUUCCCAAUCCUAGUGGAAGAGUAACACCAUUUUUUCUGAUAAAGGCAUGGCUAUUCAAAAAUGUGUAGAGGGAGAGAGGUAUACAUAACAGCAGAUGGAUUUGUGAGACUGUGCCAGUCAACCACUUACUUAGUGCAUGACUUUCAGCAAGUUACCUAAUCUUUUAAGCUUUAGUGUCUUCAUCAGGGAAAUGGGAAUAUAGUCCCUUCCCUUGCAUUGUUUCCUCUAAAUUUUGUGAAGUACAAUUUAAAAAUUAUUACUUAAGCCAAUUAAUGUUCAAACAGUAGCAUUUGGAUCAAGAGUAAAAUGUGCACGUUAAUUUAUAAACAGUCACAACUAACAUUAACAAGUAAGUGGUAAUAACUGUUUUAGGAAUUGUAUGUAUUUUUGAGCAUUUAUUUAAUCUUGAAAUUAAACUUGGUAUUUCUACGUAUUUUUCUAUGUAGAAUUUAUAUAGAUUAUUUCUACAUAAAAUGCAUCACUUAUUCUUUAAUUUUCUCAAAAUAAUAUACAUACAUGAUCUUAAAAGUUCUUAAAGAAUAACACUAGCCUUUAAUGAAACCAGAAAUCAUUUGAAUCUAAAUCCAUACUCGCCCCCACUCCUGCUCUGGCUCCCUGAGAAAACUUCUUUCAACUAUUUUUUCUGCUUCUCAGGCAUUUACCAUGAUAUUUCUAAAUCAUAGGCUUAUAGUGAUUGUAGUAUAUUGCAAAAAUGGUCACAAGCGAGACUUCUGGUUUCAGCUCUUUCAUGUAAAGAAGCUGGAAAUUGUCACCCCACCCCCUUCUUCCAACAAGAAAAAGAUGAACAAACUGAAUCAAUGGCUUUAAAAAAAUACUUAUCAGAGAAAUGAGGCUGCAGGGUAAGCCACUACUCUGAAAGACAGAUCCAGGGCGUCACUUAAAUGGCAAAUUUGCUGAAUUGCUUCCGGCUGAAUGCGGACUAGCAUGAGAGUAAGGGGGCCUCUACAUGUUCAUGGUCUUUACCUUUAGGAAAAUGUUGCCUUGUCCAGGAAGUGAGGGGUGACGCCGUACACCCGGUGUCAGACAGCUGUGUGGCAACUCUUCACCCCACACCUGCUGCAGAAACUACGCAGCGCCGGUGUGUGUUGGGUCGGUGAUAAUGCUUUGAUGCUCUCUGCGCCCUGGAGGAGCGUGAAGCCGGAGGUUGCUAAGUGGAAGUGCAGGUGCUGCUGCUUCUUGCACAAACUGCAGUUGUAAUCCAGGAUUCACGGGCCUGUAGGGGCUCAGACUUCAAAUUGAACCGCGCCUCGGCGGCAGCCACAGGUGUAAUACACGAGGCCCAGGUACCAGAAGGUGUCCAGCAGGGCCUUGGCGGCGCCCUAGCAGCUGAGGUCCAGCCGCUGCGCGCCCAGGUUCAUCUCAUUAGUGGACGCCGCGGGCCCGCGAGUUCGGAGCAGCGCGUGUAUCUGUGGGUCUUUGGGGCUGGCCUCGCUAGCCUACCAGCUUCCUUUCGGUGAUGCUCUUUGCUACCGCCAGGCUCCUGACCCCAGCUUGGACAGCAGGCCGCCGAGCGCCCCUGACGCCCGUUACCGAGAUGGCUGCGCAGAAGGAGUGGCUGUGGGGCUGUGAUCUCUCCUAGAACCUCAGAGGCAUGAAGCUAGAAUAUCUUCCCCUUCAAGGAGAAUAAGCCAAGGGUAUAUGAGACAAGGACCUGGGGAGUUGGCCUCUUUGGUUCAUUCUUUGUACUGUUUAUCUAUGGUUGUUGCGGCCUUUGUUGAUGACAUUCAGCAUUGACUUCUUGGGUAAGGUAUUCAGUAGUUAAGAUUCAAUGACUCCAGUGAAAGGUAUGUUUCCAUCGUGAUGUUCUUCUUCUGGACAAUAAGUGAAAAGAGCAUGUGAGUACCUCUCUCACUCCCAGCAAAUAAUUGUUGUGUCACCUCCACAUGUUUCUUCACGAUUCGAGGCUUUGAUUUCCCCUGCAAGACAAAAUGCAAUGAAGUGAUACAGAAAAAAAGAAAUUCUAUGCUGUCAUCACACUAGACCAUGAUGUUGAUUUAUGGAUGGUCUGCUUUCUUAUAUGCACUUAAUAUUUUUGUACAAGCAAACCUGAAAAGUGUCAAAAUCCCCUUUAACAGAUUAACAGGCUGAGAUGGGUUAAAGUGAGCAAGCCGGGAAGUGGUGGAGCUGGGAUCCACACCCUGGUCUGUCUGAGUCCAGAUGUAAUCAUCUUGCAUUCACUAUGGCAUGUUUCCCUUAUGUUAAGGGUUGCUGACAUAGACAGUGCAUGUCAUUCCUUUUGGUAUGGUCUUCCUCCUUUCUAGCUUUUUUCUGCCUGGAAGAUCCAGGCACCCAAGAGAAUGGAGCUUCCAUGUAAAUUUGCAGAAUCCCUAGGAUGAAAGCGGAGAGGAUCUACCCUGAAACCAACAAGUCUAGGAUGCACAUCUCUGCCUUUUUUUCAGAAUUAGGAAGGGGCAGGCAGAUGGGCAAUUGACAGGAAUAGUAGAAGCAUCCUCGGGGAAGUUGGCUACUUUACUUAGUGAGAAAGCAAUGGAAAGUGACAUUUGUAACUGAGUUUUAAGUGAAGUACAGUCCUAAGAGAGGAGCUCUGAAAAACAGCUGUUACCUGAGAUUGGGAAUGUUAAAGACCUUCUCAGAGCCUGACUGUACUCACAGCUGGACCUAGCUAUCAGAAGAGGGACUGCAACAUACCUGAGAAACUUUCAGAAUACUUAACGGAAGCAGAGUCAGGGGAAGUGAUUUUGAUAGUAGUCCAUGAGAAAAAAAUACGGUGUUUUAAAAUGCAAAUGAACUAAAAUUUAAAUCCUGCUCUCUCAGUAGCUAUGCAGCCUUAGGCGAGUUAAUAUCUUUGACCUUAGUAUUUCUCAGGUGUAAAGAGGGAUAAUUACCUACUCAGAACUUCACCUCUCCCAAGAAAGCUUUCCUGACCAUGUGCUGGCCCUUCCUUUACAUUGGGAUUAAAGUACCCCCCCCCGUUUUUCCAGGCUUUCUUGACUUUAAUUCUGUCAUAGCUCUAAUUAAGAACCUCUGUAAUGAUCUGUCUGCAAGCUUGUGAGAAAUUUGAGGACUGGGAACCAGCCUGAAACAUGUCUGUUCCCCUCUGAGUCAACACAGUGCCUGGGAUCUGGUGUCCAGUAGGGAUUUAAAGCAUAUUGAUUGAAUGAGAAAUGAUGACAGGAUCUACAUGGAUCACAAAGGAUAGUUGUUAUUUUACCUGUUAACUAUUUAAUAGCGAAAUUAAAUGAAAUAUGAAUUAACCUAGGACCAGGGAAGGUGGGGUAAGUUGUGUCUUUCACAUCAACCUUCAUAUGUUCCCCAAUUUUUUCUUCCUUCAUGUACCUAGGACACUCUUGUUCAAACACAAAGGUGGUUUUAUUUUGGGUCUAUACUAGCUAGUUCCCUAGAAAGGUCUUAAAUACAAAAUGAAUGGAAUACAAAAUAACCUCCCUCAUUGUUUUUUUUCCCGGACAAAUGACAGGAUGCAUACAGAACUGCUACUUUUGUGAUGUUGCAAGUAAUGGUAUAGAUGUGCACAAAUCAUGGAUGUGGUCCCAGUGAUCCAUGGAAAUGUGAAGUCCAGAGAUACCUUCCCAAGUGAAAGCAAUAAGCCUUAACCAAAGCUGUGACUUAACCAAGGAUUCACAAGGCAUCUCCAAACAUUUCUAGGAUACGUGUGCAGAACGUGCAGGUCCGUUACAUAGGUAUACAUGUGCCAUGGUGGUUUGCUGAACCCAUCAACCCGUCAUCUUCAAAGUUACAGGUCAUUGACUGCUGGAUCCACAUAUCCCACCUACAAAAGGCACAUGCAGACGUCUGGAAUUCAGCCCCAAUACCUGAUACCAAAUGCAAGAUGCCUGGAGCUCCAACACCAGGAUGAGAAGAAGCCCACGGCUACAGGAAACUGCUUCCCCUGAGACUCCAGACCAGGCCUAUAUCCAGAUGAAAGCUUACACUCCCCACAUAGUGCUCAUUACACUCAUUGCUUUAGAGGUUUUCAGAGUUGUUAUUAGCUUAUGAAAGCAGGACACAUACCUUUGCUUUGCUUAUUUAAAUCUAAUAUACCCAGUCCUUUUGCAUACCUCACAAUUCUGUUAAAGAUAGAAGUGUAGAAUCUUAUGUAUAGCAGACAUUUUAUGUCACACGAAAGGAAUUCCAUGUAUUCCUAUAUUUAGAUAUCUGUAGACCUUCCUCGCCCAACCCUAUUCAGGGUCCCUAAAACUCUUUCCUCUAGAAUACAUGAUCCCCACUCCAGAAGGCAUUGCCACUCGGCCUUUUGUCAGCCGGACAUUUUACUACCCUUUUAGAAGGGCAAUAAUCCUAUUGAAUUAAGGCUCCACCCUUACAACCUCAUUUAACCUUAAUUACCUUCUUCCGGGCUCUACCUCCAAGUCACAUUGGGGGUUAGGGCUUCAACAUAUAAAUGCUGGGGAUACACAAUUCAGUCCAUAGCGAACAGCAAUGGAACACCAUUUGUGUUCCCCUCACACAUGCAGCUAUUCACUACUUCUCACUACAGCAUAUUUGAGUGCCUACUUUAAAAACAGAGUGAAUUACCUGCCUCAGCCUGACUUAUGUUUCCUGCUGGCCAUAGCACUGGCACCAGUUGUACAACUGGCAAUGGCCCUGACCCCUGCACACUCCAUGGCAUUAGUACCCCUAUUCCCUGAAAUCCUGGC